GACGAACGCUGGCGGCGUGCUUAACACAUGCAAGUCGAGCGAGGAAAUUCUUUCGGGAAUUUCCUAGCGGCGGACGGGUGAGUAACACGUGGGCAACCUGCCUGAUAGAGGGGGAUAGCCUCCCGAAAGGGAGAUUAAUACCGCAUAAAGUCAAAUGAAGGCAUCUUCAAAUGACCAAAGGAGUAAUCCGCUAUCAGAUGGGCCCGCGGCGCAUUAGCUAGUUGGUGGGGUAACGGCUCACCAAGGCGACGAUGCGUAGCCGACCUGAGAGGGUGAUCGGCCACAUUGGGACUGAGACACGGCCCAGACUCCUACGGGAGGCAGCAGUGGGGAAUAUUGCACAAUGGGGGGAACCCUGAUGCAGCAACGCCGCGUGAGUGAUGAAGGCCUUCGGGUUGUAAAGCUCUGUCUUCAGGGACGAUAAUGACGGUACCUGAGGAGGAAGCCACGGCUAACUACGUGCCAGCCGCCGCGGUAA
rnacentral:rRNA from 1 species